UAAGGUGGGGAUGACGUCAAGUCCGCAUGGCCCUUAUGGGCUGGGCCACACACGUGCUACAAUGGCAAUUACAAUGGGAAGCAAGGCUGUAAGGCGGAGCGAAUCCGGAAAGAUUGCCUCAGCUCGGAUUGUUCUCUGCAACUCGGGAACAUGAAGUUGGAAUCGCUAGUAAUCGCGGAUCAGCAUGCCGCGGUGAAUAUGUACCCGGGCCCUGUACACACCGCCCGUCACACCCUGGGAAUUGGUUUCGCCCGAAGCAUCGGACCAAUGAUCACCCAUGACUUCUGUGUACCACUAGUGCCACAAAGGCUUUUGGUGGUCUUAUUGGCGCAUACCACGGUGGGGUCUUCGACUGGGGUGAAGUCGUAACAAGGUAACCA
rnacentral:rRNA from 1 species